GCCAGUGGUAGCUCAGUGGUCAAGAUGCCGGACUUCUGAUCGGAAGAUCGUGAGUUCAAAUCCCAGCACUGCCA